rnacentral:rRNA from 1 species
UACGAGAGGUGCAAGCGUUAUUCGGAUUGAUUGGGUGUAAAGGGUGCGUAGACGGCGUGCUAAGUUUGUUGUUAAAUCCUCCGGCUUAACCGGAGAUGUGCGGCAAAUACUGGCGUGCUAGAGGGUGGAAGAGAGAAGUGGAAUUCUUGGAGUAGCGGUAAAAUGCGUAGAUCUCAAGAGGAACACCGAUGGCGAAGGCAGCUUCUUGGUCUACUCCUGACGUUGAGGCACGAAAGCGUGGGGAGCAAACAGG